rnacentral:rRNA from 1 species
ACUCCUACGGGAGGCAGCAGUGGGGAAUAUUGCACAAUGGGGAAACCCUGAUGCAGCCAUGCCGCGUGUGUGAAGAAGGCCUUCGGGUUGUAAAGCACUUUCAGUAGGGAGGAAGGUAGUGUAGUUAACACCUGCAUUAUUUGACGUUACCUACAGAAGAAGCACCGGCUAAACUCCGUGCCAGCAGCCGCGGUAAUACGGAGGGUGCGAGCGUUAAUCGGAAUUACUGGGCGUAAAGCGCAUGCAGGCGGCCUGUUAAGUCAGAUGUGAAAGCCCGGGGGCUUAACUCGGAAUUGCAUUUGAAACUGGCAGGCUAGAGUCUUGUAUAGGGGGUAGGAAUUU